UUUAAAAAAUAUUAGGAAAUUAGGUGCUUACACAAGAUGCAAAACCAUCAUGCAAAAAGCAAGAACAUCAUUCAAAUAUAAAAGUGAAUUGCUACAAUAUUAUAAAUUAUGAUAAUAAGUAGAUUAAGGUUGUGAAAUGGUAACUUGAUGAGGCAAUGCACGUGAUAUGAUAAAGGCUCAAUAAAAUGUAAAAAUAAAAAUGUGCAUAUGACUACAUAUACGUUGAAUAGUGUUCAAACAGUUUAAAAUUGUAACUACAAGUUUACUUUAUUUUUAUUGAUGUUGCACACUAAUUACAUCAAAAAAUAUUCAAAAGGAGUGUAAGAAGAAUGUAACAAUAAAAAUUAGUAGAGGUUAAGGGAAAGGAUUCCAGGAACAAUCACUACAAAUGCAUGAUAAUAAGACAGGGACAACAUGCCGAAUUAAUAGCAGAGAAGAGUAAAACUGAGCACAUAAUUUAUUCAGAAGGAGUACGAGUGAGUGCAUCGUUUUCUUCAAUAUAUAAAUCAGGCCAUACAUCAUUCAGUUCAAUGUGUAUACUCUGUAAGAAAAUUAAACCUCAGGCAAGUAAGGAAUACAACAGAGAAUUGACAAUGAAAUUGCGACUACAAAAGCCGACUUAAUCGAUAAUUACUAAUUGUACUUAUACCUUGAACGUGAAUGACAAUCAUAUAUCAUUUACAUCGAUCUGGCCCUUUUUAAAAUUCUGCUAGAAGAUCUGCUAAACGACUGCCAUUGUUCAAUCGACAUGAAAUGUAUCUUACAGAUUUAAGCUAAUAUCACUCUGAUAAUAGCCAAAGAUAGAAAUACCAUGUUGACUAAAUAUCCUAUUUAAUAUGUACUUCAAGGCGGUUGUAUAUACACCAAUAACGACAAUAUCGACAUGCCACAGAGAGGCGACCAGCGAACUACAGAAAAUUCUGCUACUGCCGAACUUUUUAUUCUUUGUGGAUUAGUGUUGAACGGCCUAACGCAGCAUGACACAAGACAACACAGAACCGUCAGUUAUAUUGGCAUACAGCUUUGGUUCAACUUUACGUGUCAGAAAAUAGGAAUAAAUAUUAUAACACUGGUUAAAACCAUCGGAGACACAGAGCAUAACAGGAAACAUCGGCCACAUUUUUCAAGUCUUUCCUCUAAUAUCACACAAAAAGUGUGGAGUAGGUAUACGAAUGAAACGCCCAACUCACUGUUAACCGGUGUAACCGAUGUAAUGAUCUCAAAAAAGAAAAUUAAAUGAUGUAAUCAAUGUGCUACCAAAGCAUUGAAAUUAAUUAGUAUAUAAAAUUAAAAUAAGUUUGUUCUGAACAUUCGCCGUUUGGUUUGUUUUUUUAUACAGCUGUUACGACCAAAAUGUGAUAUUGUACUGCGGAUAUACUGAAGUUUAUGAAGCACGCUGCUGCAUUCACUGAUCGAAAUUGAUGUAGCGAUUUGAAGCGCUUUCAACAGCUAAGUUUUUUUGAACUUUUGCCUUGAGAGAUAAAUUCGACCAUCCUAUCGAUCAAUGAUAAGCAAACACAUUUCGUGUAGCCCACCAGUAACAGUCACCAUCUAUAUAUUGAAUUUUUCAAUAUGUAAAACAUAUAAGUAGUAACAAAUAAACAUUUUCGAUAGAAUAUAUGAAUACAAACGUAUAUAUUUCUUUUAUUGUUACAUUUGAGAUAUCAUAUCUGCGAAACACUGAAAGCCAGUGAAACCUAAUAAAUAGAACAUAUGACUUUACUGGAAGAAAUUUUUGUUAUUUUCUAAUGUUCAAAAGGCAGUAACUGCAAGUGGAUAGACGGUAACAGCAACAAAGCUGGCACGAUAAGUGUAACAAUGGGUGAGUAUGAAUGAAUGUAACAGGUAUAGUAGUUCAGGAACAGAGGGCAGAGCACAUGAAACUAACAACACAUUUCCCAAAAAGAUAAUUAUACGAUACCCUGUCUUUGUAUGUGUCUUCACACUCUUUCUGAAAACAAAGUGAAUCAUUGAACAGCUUUUGCAUAAUUUGCAUUCUGAUACCCUAAGAAACUAUUAACUUAACCCAUCAUCUUUGAAAAACGUCUACUUAUAUUAUUCUACAGUAAGAAACAUUAAGCACGUAAACUAUUGAUACUAAACCUUUGAACCUGCAACAUUUCUCACAAAUAAGGAAUCAUUCGCAACAUUUAACGAUAAAAAUAAUGGGCUCACAUAUAUGUACACUAUUUUAUGAAUAUAAUCUCAUACUUUGAAAAUAAGUGGGAGAGUAAUAUCAUUAACAUGCCAUAUACUAUCAAGUACUACAAAAUUAACAGAGUAUACCCCAUAAGAAUUGAUCAGGAGGAGAAACAACCAGGUAGAAUGAAAUAAAAUUUUAGCAUGUACGUGAGUCCAUA